GGGGACUUAGCUCAGUGGUAGAGCGCUUGCCUAGCAAGCACAAGGCCCUGGGUUCAGUCCUCA
rfam:Rattus norvegicus chromosome 15, whole genome shotgun sequence.